GCCCUGUUUUUCCGAAAUGGCCCUGUUUUUUUCUGUAAUGGCCCUGUUUUUUUGUAAUGGCCCUGUUUUUUCUGUAAUGGCCCUGUUUUUCUGUAAUGGCCCUGUUUUUUUCUGUAAUGGUCCUGUUUUUCUGUAAUGGCCCUGUAUUAAUGCCCAGUUUGUUUGUAUUAAGUCCUGUUAGGGUUUUUAAUAAAGUUAAUAAAACUAAGUUGUAAAGAGUAUAAUACCUUUUUGUAUUUUAUUUAAUUUAGUAACCAGCAACCAACAUUAAAGAACCAUAUAAAGGGAUCACUGUUCAUCCUGUUUUUUAACACAUAUCUCUUUCAACUUAAUUUCUUGGAUAUUUG
rnacentral:lncRNA from 1 species